UACGUAGGGGGCAAGCGUUGUCCGGAUUUAUUGGGCGUAAAGAGCGUGUAGGCGGCCAGGUAGGUCAGCUGUGAAAACUCGAGGCUCAACCUCGAGACGCCGGUUGAAACCAUCUGGCUAGAGUCCGGAAGAGGAGAGUGGAAUUCCUGGUGUAGCGGUGAAAUGCGCAGAUAUCAGGAAGAACACCCGUGGCUAAGGCGGCUCUCUAGUACGGUACUGACGCUGAGACGCGAAAAGCGUGGGGGAGCAAACAGG
rnacentral:rRNA from 1 species